ensembl:lincRNA
AUUUAAUAUGUACAAAAUAUGUUCUAGUCCCAGUUACUCAACUAUCACCGCGUCUUGCCCCUCAGAAGUAUGGCGUGCACGUCCUGACGUUUCUGGUUAGCGUCUCCUUUGAUAGGUUGUUGUCUUUCCUGUACUAAUGAAGUGCUCUGUGUAACGUGAUUUCCCGCUGCGGAAAAAAAGAUAACUGAAGAAAACUCUCAAGGUUGUAUCCGAUGGACUAUAGUGAAGGGUAAUAGACCUGAAAUGCAUUACUGAUGAUGGAAAUGAAUGGUUAGCGUACAAUCCCAACCAUAUGCUAUUUUACUUUAUAUUUUUAAAUAAAAAUAUCCAAUCGUUUAUGUUCUCUUAUCCUUGGGAUCGCUUUUUAACUUUUAUUACUUUGCCUGAAAAUAAUUGAUUUGUACGAUCAGAUGGCAAUGUCGAUGGAUUGCAUGGUUCCAGCACAGAACAAACGCCGCCACGAAGAGGAUCUUGAUGUAAAUGUGAACCAGACGAAGCGGUUUUGCAGUGGGUCUGGAAGUUGUAAUCAGUUUGAAAAUGGCGCUGUGAGCACACAGUUAACAGAGAGUCCCAUGGAUACCUGGGACAUGCAUCAGCAGCAGUCUCUUCCUCGGUCACGGAAUCCAAACUGCACUGCCUUCCUCUGUAUUACCUCCACCCAGACCUCUGAUAUGAGGUAUGCAUCUGAAGAUGGCGGAUUCGUACAGCUCUGUCUGCGUUGCAAGGCUGGAGAGUCUGGUCAUAUUAACCAUAUCAUGGGAUUCUGAAAAUCACUGUGCAGCCUGGAUACCGAAAUGCAUCAUGAGUUUUGUAAAGAUGAAUGUAGAAUCUUUUCCACAAGUGGAGACUUAACAAGACUUGUUUUAUGAAACUAAAAGGCAUGUUUAGUAUUUCUUUAAUCACAAAUUAAAAUUAUGUGACAAACCAGUAUUCAGAAAGGGCUAACUCUCAAAACCCCUGGUGGCUUAAAAGAAGGGAGAGAACAUUUUGGAUGCUACUGUAUAUCUUACUGUACUGUAAGAUGUAUGUUGUACGUACUGUAUGUUUUAGAAGGUAAUAUCAGGAAAUAUUACGUUAUUCUAUGUAAUUGUAAAACAUUGGAGUUGAUUACAUUUUUAAUGCAGUUUUUUAAGAUAAACCUUAUUUGAUCAAUGUUAUUAAUACUGUUUUGUUACUACUUGCAUGUAAAUUAGAUACCUUAAUUUCAUUUAUUUUUCAGAUAAAGAAUUUAAGUAAAAUGUUUAGAAUUCUAAUCAUGAUUACUGGAUAAGAAUUUAUUUGGUUUUUAGAUAUGUUGUAGUAUUAACAUAGUUUGAAGAAUAAAAUGGAAAUGUAGUUAGUUGCUUUUUUGAUAAAAUAAAUUCUUGUUUGUACUGUAUAAGUAUGUAAGUAGAAAGCAUUAUUGAAAUUUUGUAUUUCUUUUUCAUUUACUGACAGCUGUUUAGAAAUAAAGAGACUGUUUACACCUGCAUUAAAGGGAAAUGACUGAUUCAGGUAUUGUAUUUUUGUGAGGAUCAGUGUGGUUGGAAAUUGUUGAAUUGUUGAAAACCUCUGAAUAUUUAAUAAUAAAUGGAUUUUAAAAUACAUUGACUUUAAUCAUUGAACAAUGGAAAUGAAGGAUUUGGCAACAAAUAUGUUUUUCUUUGCAGUGUUUUGCAAGUUUUCACAUGAUAUCACGCUGGAAG